AGAACGAACGCUGGCGGCAUGCCUAACACAUGCAAGUCGAACGCUCUUGGGGCUUCGGUCUCAGGGGAGUGGCGCACGGGUGAGUAGCGCGUGGGAACCUGCCCUGUUGUGGGGGAUAACCGAGGGAAACUUCGGCUAAUACCGCAUAAGCCGGUUGUCUUGAAGGAGAUGGCCGGGAAAGAUUUAUCGCGACAGGAGGGGCCCGCGUCGGAUUAGCUAGUUGGUGGGUAACGGCCCACCAAGGCGGUGAUCCGUAGCUGGUCUGAGAGGAUGAUCAGCCACACUGGGACUGAGACACGGCCCAGACUCCUACGGGAGGCAGCAGUGGGGAAUAUUGGACAAUGGGCGCAAGCCUGAUCCAGCAAUGCCGCGUGAGUGAUGAAGGCCUUAGGGUUGUAAAGCUCUUUCGCCCGCGACGAUGAUGACGGUAGCGGAGAAGAAGCCCGGCUAACUUCGUGCCAGCAGCCGC
rnacentral:rRNA from 1 species